rnacentral:rRNA from 1 species
GUGGGGAAUUUUGGACAAUGGGCGAAAGCCUGAUCCAGCCAUGCCGCGUGCAGGAUGAAGGCCUUCGGGUUGUAAACUGCUUUUGUACGGAACGAAAAGACUCCUUCUAAUAAAGGGGGUCCAUGACGGUACCGUAAGAAUAAGCACCGGCUAACUACGUGCCAGCAGCCGCGGUAAUACGUAGGGUGCAAGCGUUAAUCGGAAUUACUGGGCGUAAAGCGUGCGCAGGCGGUUAUAUAAGACAGAUGUGAAAUCCCCGGGCUCAACCUGGGAACUGCCUUUGUGACUGCAAGGCUAGAGUACGGCAGAGGGGGAUGGAAUUCCGCGUGUAGCAGUGAAAUGCGUAGAUAUGCGGAGGAACACCGAUGGCGAAGGCAAUCCCCUGGGCCUGUACUGACGCUCAUGCACGAAAGCGUGGGGAGCAAACAGGAUUAGAUACCCGAGUAGUCC